UGACCUCAAAUCGGGUGAGACUACC
rnacentral:rRNA from 1 species